rnacentral:misc_RNA from 1 species
GGCCUCAUCGAAUUGUUCCCCAAUUAAAGCCAUCAAAGUCUCCAGCCACAUGGUAUCAAGGAUAGCCUUCCUGCCACAAGUAACAGACCACUUCCCCCCACCAGCACACUCAGGAUCUUCCCAUUUGGGUUCAAUUCCAGCUUUAAAUAAGUGGAAAUCAGCAUUUCCGGGCAGUUUGCUGGGCUUGAAUAUUUGAUCAUACAAACACCAAAAUUCUUCGACGGUGUCGAAGGUGUAGACCUUGCGGAGAGAGGUGCCCCAGGCUGCACCUUGUUUAGGCUUGGAUUGAUUAUCGAACCAGAACGUCCACUUCCUCUCUAGCUUGUGCUGUUGCGGCUGCUCUGUCCCAGUAGCUGUGGCCUCCGUCGUGGUCCCUUCUAUUGCUGUUUCGCUUGCCAUUUUCUUCUCCUUCUUGUGCCUUUCUUUUGCGUCCGCUAAGAUUAGAGAGUUUGUUUCUUUGGAUUAGAG